AACGCGAAGAACCUUACCAGACCUUGACAUCCCUCUGCCAGACGAGUAACGUCGUCCUUCCUUCGGGACAGAGGAGACAGGUGGUGCAUGGUUGUCGUCAGCUCGUGUCGUGAGAUGUUGGGUUAAGUCCCGCAACGAGCGCAACCCUUAUUGUUAGUUGCCAUCAUUCAGUUGGGCACUCUAGCGAGACUGCCGGUAAUAAACCGGAGGAAGGUGGGGAUGACGUCAAAUCAUCAUGCCCCUUAUGACCUGGGCUACACACGUGCUACAAUGGUUGGUACAACGAGUCGCAAGUCGGUGACGGCAAGCAAAUCUCUUAAAGCCAAUCUCAGUUCGGAUUGUAGGCUGCAACUCGCCUACAUGAAGUCGGAAUCGCUAGUAAUCGCGGAUCAGCACGCCGCGGUGAAUACGUUCCCGGGUCUUGUACACACGC
rnacentral:rRNA from 1 species